ACAAAUUGUGAAAGUUGUUCCUCCAAGUUCCUGGGAUGCAGGAGGAAAUCAGGGGACAGGGGGAGAUGGUAACUAGUGGUAGUAGUAGGGAUAAAUGCCACUCAGCAUGCACUGGCAACUAUUAGUGGCUUAGGAAUACUUAGUGCCUUGUGUCCUCAGCUUUGGGUUUUAGCCACAAUUCUGAGACAACAGGAAAAAUCAAACUCCACUUUCUCUUACAUAUGCAAUAGAUAUUAGAAGCAGCCUUAAAUUUAUGCCUUAAAAUUUCCAUCCAAACAUAGUAAAGAUUUUUAGUCAUUUAGAGCUAUGUUCCAGAGCAGUUUCCAAGUCAGAAUAAGUUAAACCGUUUGCCUUUUGAUACUUGAUAUUUUAUGGUUUCCAAUUUGCUAUUUUCAGCUAACCUUAGGGGUGAACAGCUCUAAUUCAUCUGAACGGAGAAACAGUGUAACCAACCAGUUUCUCACAGUGACAGAAUACUUUGGCUGCUUUGUCCAGGCUGUUGGGAUGGAGUCAGCCAAUAGCUAAGAAUGAGGGUCAUUGAUUCACAUGACAGGGGGUCCAAUGUAGGUCAAGUUCUACCUGCGUAUCUGAGAAUUGCCCCUGAAUAAUAUUUAUAUCUGAAUGAAUCGAUUCUAAUAUAGUAGUAAAAAGUGUGAGCUUCAGAGUCAAACACCUGAGCUGACAGUCCAUCCCAACUGCGUAUUAACUCUGUGAAGUUGAGCACAUUGCAGAAUUCCUGUCUCCUCCUCCUGGGAUCUGCUUCCCUCUAGCAUGGCCUGGAAACUCUCUCCUGGGAGGAAACUGGGGCAAUCCUAUUUUCUGAAUUUUUGACUGUUUUUUCUUUAAGCUAUCUAUUUCCUUGAAUAUUUCUGCCUUCACUUCUUGUAUCAUUUUUUGAGGAAGGUCUAGGGCUGAAGGUCAUUGUUCAGAUUCUUUUGUCCCAUGGGGUAUUCCCUUGAUGUAGUACUCUCCCCCUUUUCCUAUGGAUGUGGCUUCCUCUGAGCUGAAUUGCAGUGAUUGUUGUCUCUCUUCUGGGUCUAGCUACCCAGCUCCGGGCUGAUACUGGAGGUUGUCUGCACAGAGUCCUGUGAUGUGAACCAUCUAUGGGUCUCUCAGCCGUGGAUACCAGUGCCUGUUCCAGUGGAGGUGGCCAGUAGGGGAAUACAAUGGACUCUGUGAGGGUUCUUAGCUUUGGUGGUUUAAUGCUCUAUUUUUGUGCUGGUUGGCCUCCUGCCAGGAGGUGGCGCUUUCCAGAGACCAUCAGCUGUGGUAGUAUGGAGAGGAACCUGUGGUGAGUGGGGCCCUAGAUAUUCCAAGAGUAUAUGCCCUGUGUCUUCCGCUACCAGGGUGGGUAGAGAAGGACCAUCAGGUGGGGGCAGGGCUAGAUGUGUCUGAGCUCAGACCCUUCUUGGGUGGGUCUUGCUGUGGCUGCUGUGGGGGAUGGGGGUGAGAUUCCCAGGUCACUGGAGUUGUGUACCUGGGAAAAUUAUGGCUGCCUCUGCUGAAUCAUGCAGGUUGUCAGGGAAGUGGAGGAAAGCCGGCAGUCACAGGCUCACCCAGCUGCCACACAAACUAAAGGGUGGGUCUCACUCCCACAAUGCCUCCCACAACAGCCUUUAGUCCAUUUUCAGGUGGAGAGUGAUACAGGUUUGAAAACCUGCCCCUGGCCACCUACCUCCCAGCUGCGAAAGAAAAGGGCUUGGUUCUUCCCCCUCCCGUGGAGUCUGCACACUGGAUUUGGGCCCUCACCCAAAUUCUGGCCAGGAGGCUUCCCACCCCACUCAAAUUGCUACAAAGUUCAGCUAGAGAUUUGCUUCUCCCAGUGGAGUUUUACCCCCUGGUCUUCUCCUAUUGGAUCCCUGUGGUGCCAGGUAGGAAUGGGCUGCUAGGGGACCCAGCAAGCUCCCAGCGCCUUUCUGCUGCUGUAUUUCACUUGGCUCUCUAAAUUGACUCAGCUCCAGAUAAAGUCAGAAACUUCUCCCACAAAUAGACCUUCAGCUCCUCCCAUGGGAGUGUGUGUUUGGGAGAGGAAGGUCUCCCUUUCCCACUAACGUGGUUGGGGCACUCAGUUUUUGGGGGGUCUCCCAGGUCCUGAAGGAGCAGUCUGCUUCCUUCAGAGGGUCUGUGGGUCCUCUUGGGAUUGCUGGUUUUUUCUUGCAGUAGAUCUGGAGCUAAAAUUCAUGAUGUGAGCCCCCCUCACACUGCUCUGUCUGGAGCUGCAAUCUAGUCCUGCCUCCUAUCCGCCAUGAUGAUCAACAGACCAAAAGGAGGAACAUAUUCAGUUGGUAGCAAAUAAGAGUAAUUCAGGCAACAGUAAUUCAAUUAAAGAUUUUCGAGAUUCAAAAAGUGUUUUUCAUGUUUUGUGCUCUUCUUCUGCAUGGGUUUAUAGAUGUUCUUGGCUUCCCAGACUGUAUCCCUAGCCUAAUCUUGAGAGUUACCUAAUUCUUGCAGCUAUGAAAUGGUUUUAUUUAAGAGCGAGAACUCUAUAGCAGUGCCGUUCAACUCCUGUGUCAAAGCAAGCCUUGUACUGGUGUAUGGGAAGGGGUUCAGGUAUGCUGAGAUAUUCAUCCCCCAAGCCUACAGGACAGCAUGGUCGCAGUCAGAGCUCGUAGACCAGUUGCCUUGACCAAUGAACCUUUCUUUCCAGGGCUGAAGGCAGUGAGCAUACUGGGCUACAUUUACUUCUUGCUGCUUCCCCACCAUGCACUCAGCACAGUGCCCGAC
rnacentral:lncRNA from 1 species